rnacentral:rRNA from 1 species
GAUGAACGCUGGCGGCAUGCCUAAUACAUGCAAGUCGAACGAGAGGAAGGAAAGCUUGCUUUUCUGAAUCUAGUGGCGAACGGGUGAGUAACACGUAGGUAACCUGCCCAUGUGCCCGGGGUAACUUCUGGAAACGGAUGCUAAAACCGGAUAGGUAGCAGACAAGCAUUUGACUGCUAUUAAAGUGGCUAAGGCCAUGAACAUGGAUGGACCUGCGGUGCAUUAGCUAGUUGGUGAGGUAACGGCCCACCAAGGCGACGAUGCAUAGCCGGCCUGAGAGGGCGGACGGCCACAUUGGGACUGAGACACGGCCCAAACUCCUACGGGAGGCAGCAGUAGGGAAUUUUCGUCAAUGGGGGGAACCCCGAACGAGCAAUGCCGCGUUGGUGAGGAAGGUCUUCGGAUCGUAAAGCUCUGUUGUAAGAGAAAAACGACAUUCAUAGGGAAUGAUGAGUGAGUGAUGGUAUCUUACCAGAAAGUCACGGCUAACUACGUGCCAGCAGCCGCCGUAA